rnacentral:rRNA from 1 species
AUUGAACGCUGGCGGCAGGCCUAACACAUGCAAGUCGAACGAGUGGCGGACGGGUGAUUAAUAUCUGGGAAACUGCCCGAUGGAGGGGGAUAACUACUGAAAACUGUAGCUAAUACCGCAUACCAUCGAAUGUGCCCAUAUGUGAUGAGCUAGUAGGUGGGGUAACGGCUCACCUAGGCGACGAUCCCUAGCUGGUCUGAGAGGAUGACCAGCCACACUGGAACUGAGACACGGUCCAGACUCCUACGGGAGGCAGCAGUGGGGAAUAUUGCACAAUGGGCGCAAGCCUGAUGCAGCCAUGCCGCGUGUAUGAAGAAGGCCUUCGGGUUGUAAAGUACUUUCAGCGAGGAGGCGUUACUAGCAGAAGAAGCACCGGCUAACUCCGUGCCAGCAGCCGCGGUAAUAC